AAUGGCUGCAGUAAUUUGACUGUACAAAGGUAGCAUAAUCAUUAGUUUUUUAAUUAAAAGCUUGUAUGAAAGGUUGGACGAAAUAAAUUCUGUCUCUUUUUAAUAAAAUUAGAAUUUAAUUUUUAAGUUAAAAAGCUUAAAUAUUUAUAAAAGACGAGAAGACCCUAUAGAGUUUUAUAAUUUAAAUUUAUUAAUUAAUUUAGAUUUAUUAAUUUUAUUUUUUUUAAAUUAUUUUAUUGGGGUAAUAGAAAGAUUAAAAAAAUUCUUUUUUUAUAAAAAUCAUUAAUUUAUGAAAAUUUUAUGAUCCAUUAAAUUUUGAAUAUAAGAUUAAAUUACCUUAGGGAUAACAGCGUAAUUUUUUUUAAGAGUUCAUAUCGAUAAAAAAGUUUGCGACCUCGAUGUUGGAUUAAAGAUUAAUUUAGGUGUAGAAGUUUAAAUUUUUGGUCUGUUCGACCAUUGAAUCUUUACAUGAUCUGAGUUCAAACCGGUGUAAGCCAGGUUGGUUUCUAUCUUUAUUAAAAUUUUAUAUUUCAGUACGAAAGGACCAAUUAUAUUAUAUAUUUAUAUUUAAAUUAUUGAAUAU
rnacentral:rRNA from 1 species